rnacentral:misc_RNA from 1 species
CCAUAAAGCUCCCAAGUUUCUGACAAAAAUCAUAAAAGUACUUAGAUUCUCAUGCCAAACAUAAAAAUCAGAAGGAAUAAGAUACAAAUAAUUAAGGGUCAAUGAUAUAAAAAUCCAAACCUUUUCUCUGAUUUGCAAUUAUGGCCAAUCCUUUUAACUUUUUCAAUGGUGUCUUCUAUGAUUACUUUGUUUUUACAUUGUUCCCUUAUACACAAGUUCAGAAUUGCUUCUAUCAUCUAAGGGUGGUUAUGGACAAAGUAAAAUAUACUUUGACUUUAACAAGGUAAUCACAGAAAACCCUUGUUUUUAGCAUCUUCCCUUGCACAUUUGACUACAAUUGUCACCACAAUAAAAUGUUGUUCAUAAAACUUAAAAAGUUAAAAAAAAUUCAUAAUAUUGCAAAUUUGAGCAAAGGAUCGACUUUUUUUAGUCAUUAACCCUAUUAUUCAUACCAUAGAAAUUAAGUAAAUCAUUUCUAGGAGCAUAAAAAUUGGGGAGAAAACCCAUUACAAAUUGCAGUCUAUUAAUCUUGUACUCAUUUUAUUCAUCAAAUUAAAUAUUCUUCAUUUUGCACCGUCGCAGUUGGAAAGUUUUAUCUCUGUCAGCUACAACCUUACUCACAAAAUUAACUAUUGAAGUCACAAAAAUUAUUACCUUCUCUCAUAAAUUUUAACAGAGUCCAAGAAUUAAAUGACAAAUGGCAUGAUCAAAAGCAUUUUCAAGAAGUUUUACAUCACUGGUGAAUUUGUAUCACUAUUUACUAGAAAGUAUUUCUUCAAAUGGAACAUUUCUCUGUGAACUUUUAAUACAAGAAUUUGAAAGUGACCAUACCUGAGAACUGAGCUUGCUUUCCCG